rnacentral:rRNA from 1 species
ACGUUAGCUGCAGAAGAAGCACCGGCUAACUCCGUGCCAGCAGCCGCGGUAAUACGGAGGGUGCGAGCGUUAAUCGGAAGUUACUGGGCGUAAAGCGCAUGCAGGUGGUUUGUUAAGUCAGAUGUGAAAGCCCGGGGCUCAACCUCGGAAUUGCAUUUGAAACUGGCAAACUAGAGUACUGUAGAGGGGGUAGAAUUUCAGGUGUAGCGGUGAAAUGCGUAGAGAUCUGAAGGAAUACCGGUGGCGAAGGCGGCCCCCCUGGACAGAUACUGACACUCAGAUGCGAAAGCGUGGGGAGCAAACAGGAUUAGAUACCCUGGUAG